rnacentral:rRNA from 1 species
AACGAACGCUGGCGGCAGGCCUAACACAUGCAAGUCGAACGCCCCGCAAGGGGAGUGGCGCACGGGUGAGUAACGCGUGGGAAUAUGCCCUUCGGUUCGGAAUAACACAGGGAAACUUGUGCUAAUACCGGAUACGAUCUACGGAUGAAAGAUUUAUCGCCGAGGGAGUAGCCCGCGUAGGAUUAGCUAGUUGGUGAGGUAAUGGCUCACCAAGGCGACGACCCUUAGCUGGUCUGAGAGGAUGAUCAGCCACACUGGGACUGAGACACGGCCCAGACUCCUACGGGAGGAAGCAGUUGGGAAUAUGGGACAAUGGGAGAAAGCCUGAUCCAGCCAUGCCGCGUGAGUGAUGAAGGCCUUAUGGUUGUAAAGCUCUUUCGCCAGGGAAGAUAAUGACGGUACCUGGAAAAGAAGCCGCGGCUAACUCCGUGCCAGCCGCCGCGGUAA